GCCAGUGUGGUAUAGUGGUUUGAGUGUUGGACUAGGACUCUGGGAGACCAGGUUUCAAAUCCCCGCUUUGUCG